rnacentral:rRNA from 1 species
CCGCGGUAAUACGGAGGGUGCAAGCGUUAUCCGGAAUUACUGGGUUUAAAGGGUGCGCAGGCGGAUAGAUAAGUUAGUGGUGAAAACUUCGGGCUAAACCCGAGACCUGCCAUUGAUACUGUCUAUCUUGAAUGAAGUUGAAGCUGGCGGAAUGUGUGGUGUAGCGGUGAAAUGCAUAGAUAUCACACAGAACACCGAUUGCGAAGGCAGCUGGCUAAGCUUAAAUUGACGCUCAGGCACGAAAGUGUGG